rnacentral:rRNA from 1 species
UACGUAGGGGGCAAGCGUUGUCCGGAAUCAUUGGGCGUAAAGAGCGUGUAGGCGGUCCGGUAAGUCCGCUGUGAAAGUCCAGGGCUCAACCCUGGAAUGCCGGUGGAUACUGCCGGGCUAGAGUCCGGAAGAGGCGAGUGGAAUUCCUGGUGUAGCGGUGAAAUGCGCAGAUAUCGGGAGGAAUACCAGUGGCGAAGGCGGCUCACUGGCCCGAUACUGACGCUGAGGUGCGAAAGCGUGGGGAGCAAACAGG